AGCGGUUGGGCGGCUUGCUUACACAUGCAAGUCGAACGGUGAAGCCAAGCUUGCUUGGUGGAUCAGUGGCGAACGGGUGAGUAACACGUGAGCAACCUGCCCUGGACUCUGGGAUAAGCGCUGGAAACGGCGUCUAAUACUGGAUAUGAGCUUCUACCGCAUGGUGGGGGUUGGAAAGAUUUUUCGGUCUGGGAUGGGCUCGCGGCCUAUCAGCUUGUUGGUGAGGUAAUGGCUCACCAAGGCGUCGACGGGUAGCCGGCCUGAGAGGGUGACCGGCCACACUGGGACUGAGACACGGCCCAGACUCCUACGGGAGGCAGCAGUGGGGAAUAUUGCACAAUGGGCGGAAGCCUGAUGCAGCAACGCCGCGUGAGGGAUGACGGCCUUCGGGUUGUAAACCUCUUUUAGCAGGGAAGAAGCGAAAGUGACGGUACCUGCAGAAAAAGCGCCGGCUAACUACGUGCCAGCAGCCGCGGUAAUACGUAGGGCGCAAGCGUUAUCCGGAAUUAUUGGGCGUAAAGAGCUCGUAGGCGGUUUGUCGCGUCUGCUGUGAAAUCCCGAGGCUCAACCUCGGGCCUGCAGUGGGUACGGGCAGACUAGAGUGCGGUAGGGGAGAUUGGAAUUCCUGGUGUAGCGGUGGAAUGCGCAGAUAUCAGGAGGAACACCGAUGGCGAAGGCAGAUCUCUGGGCCGUAACUGACGCUGAGGAGCGAAAGGGUGGGGAGCAAACAGGCUUAGAUACCCUGGUAGUCCACCCCGUAAACGUUGGGAACUAGUUGUGGGGACCAUUCCACGGUUUCCGUGACGCAGCUAACGCAUUAAGUUCCCCGCCUGGGGAGUACGGCCGCAAGGCUAAAACUCAAAGGAAUUGACGGGGACCCGCACAAGCGGCGGAGCAUGCGGAUUAAUUCGAUGCAACGCGAAGAACCUUACCAAGGCUUGACAUACACCAGAACGGGCCAGAAAUGGUCAACUCUUUGGACACUGGUGAACAGGUGGUU
rnacentral:rRNA from 1 species